GUUCAGUAUUUCAGCUGUUAGAUUUGAGCUCCACUCCCAGCCCCACAGCAGUGAUUGCAGCCCCAUCCCUACCAUCUUGAUUCCAGCUCCAGAGAUUUCAGCCCCACAGCUUUUAUUCCAGCUCCAUUCCCAGCCCCACAGCUUUUAUUUCAGUUCUGGCCCUACAGUAUUUAUUUCAGCUCCAGGUUCGGUGUUUCAGCUCCAGCCGCAGUCGUUCUUCAGCCCCAGCUCUGUCCUGGCUCAGCUCCAGCCCCACAGCAGUGAUUUCAGCUCCAGCCCUGCCAUCUUUAGUCCAGCUCUGGGUGAUUUCAGCUCAGGCCCUGUGGUUUUUAUUUCAGCUCUGAGUGAUUUCAGCCCCAGCCCUACAGUUUUGAUUUCAACUCCAGCUCCAGCUCCAGCUGCAGUCGUUCUUCAGCUCCAGCUCUGUCACAUCUCAGCCGCAGCCCCACAGCAGUGAUUUCAGCUCCAACCCUGCCAUCCUGAUUUCAUCUCCCACCCUACAGUAGCUAUUGAACCCCAGGAUUUCCACUCCAGGCCUGUGCUGUUUCCCCUCCCACCCCCCCCCCACUCUUUAUUUCACCCCCCAGCCUCACAGACUUUCUUACGGCUCCAGCUCUGCGUUGUUUCAGCUUCAGCCCUGCAGUGUUUAGCUCAGCCUCAGCUCUACAUCUUCCUGUUGCCUCCGUGUUCUCACAGCAGCUCUGGGGGCUGUUGAUAAGGUAGUAAGUCAAUCACUGUCAUCACUCAACUAUCAAAACUGUCCCACUGUGUCUGUCCCCUGAAUAAAGUGUUCCUGUUGUGUGUGUCCCCAUUUCA